rnacentral:rRNA from 1 species
GACGUAGGUCGCAAACGUUAUCCGGAAUCAUUGGGCGUAAAGGGUGCGUAGACGGCAUGAUAAGUUGCUGGUGGAAAAUGAGGCUCAACCUCGUGGAAGCUGGUAAUACUGUUUUGCUUGAGUGCAGAAGAGGUUAACGGAACUCCAUGUGGAGCGGUAAAAUGUGUAGAUAUAUGGAAGAACAUCAAUAACGGCGAAGGCAGUUAACUAUUCUGUUACUGACGUUGAGGCACGAAAGCGUGGGGAGCAAAAAGG